CAUGCGUACUGCCUUCCAUAAUGUCGCGCAUGCGUACUGUUGUCUCGAAGCCCGCGCAUGCGCAGUGCCGUCUAUGGUCUCGUGCAUGCGCACUGCCGUCUAUAGUCUCGCGCAUGCGUACUGCCGUCUUCAACUUCGCGCAUGCGUACUGCCGUCUGGAUGCUCGCGCAUGCGGACUGCCGUCUCGAAGACCGCGCAUGCGCAGGGCCGUCUAUAAUUACGCGCAUGCGUAUUGCCGUCAUUCGGCUCGCGCAUGCGUACUGCCGUCUCGAACCCCACGCAUGCGCAAUGUCAUCUAUAAUGCCGCGCAUGCGUACUGCCGUCUAAAAUCUCGCGCGUGCGUACUGCCUUCUCGCGGCUCGCGCAUGCGUACUGCCGUCUAUGAUUUCGCGCAUGCGCAGUGCCGUCUCGAAUGUUGCGCAUGCGUACUGUUUUCUAUAAUGUCGCGCAUGCGUACUACCGUCUCGAAUCUCGCGCAUGCGUACUGUCGUUUAUAAUGUCGCUCAUGCGUACUGCAUUCUCGCCGCAUACAGCUGUAGUUCCGCGCAUUGGCCACCUGGCGGUAGCAGAGACAGUGGAAUGAGAUACUCCGACGAGAUUGCCGCGGAUCCUCGGCGCAGCCCCUAGCGAUCCAUUCUCUCUUGUGAUGACGGGGGAAGAAUACGAAGUUAGAAGGGGGGCAAAGACGAAGAAAACAGACGAAAAGUACUCCAAGCCCAUGAAAGCUGUGCUAAGUGCUUAUGAAUAUCUGUAAAAAUGAAAAAGGGAUUUUUUUUUCUUUUUGCCACCAUCUGUUGCAUUGUUUCAAAUAUUCACAUACCAAAAUGUAACUGCCCAGCAUAUUUAAUGAUAACGAAAUUAAAGCAUGCUGGCAGAAAGUACCAGGCCAUAUUAAUGUUCGCUCACCCUCUGUCUUGUUCGUACUUUAAUGUCUUUGUUUCCAAGCGCUUUUCUUCAACUCCGAGUUUCAUUUCUGUCUUUUUAUUCUUUUUAAUGCCAUAAAAUGGAUAGCUUUAGGCCCUAGCAUGUCUAAACAGGCAGACACUGCAUAAAGCUGCAGUUCUGAGAUUCGUGUGGACCAUUACAUUGUUUCCACAAAGAUUAAUGAAAACUGCAGUUCUUCACCUCAGUUUACAGAUGGAAAAAAUUAAUUCACCUGCAUAGAAGGAAUCAGUGUGUCACAGCUGCCUUUGGCAAGAUGGUCUGAGAGUUAUGCAGGUCCAUCAGGCUCAGCUACAGCUUUUCAUCUGCCCUUCCUCCUGCAACCAGAGAGAUAGCCCACACGGGCAUGGGGUAUGCAGACCCUCCCCAGUCAACUGCAGCAGUCGCUCCUGCCAGCACUCCCUUUCCCCCAGAUCAUUGCCAUUUCACAGGCUGGAGCCCUAUGUGGCAGAAGAGGAGAGAGCUACAGGCAGAAGUAAAACAGGGUGCUGGGAUUCCUCCAUCCUGCUGCCAGAUGUCUUCUCUGGCAUUCUGGGGGUGGGCAGGGGACUGUGGGAGCACCCUCGAGGCUCUGGGCAGGAUGGUAGGAAGCAAAGAUGCAGCUGCAGGCAGUGGGCUGUGGGCUGGAGCAGUGCAGCCAGGCACAGCCGCACGGCUCACAGUAUGGGCACACGGAGGAAGUUCAUCCAGCUGAGAGCUGCUGGGCUGUCCUUACCAUGCACUCUCCCAUCCUACAGGUCUGCACAGACUGCAGCAGUUGCUCGAGCAUUUUCCACUGCGGCAGCUCACAAGCGACAACUCCAACCUUGACCCAUACAGGGCUGGCAGCCACAGAGGAAUUGUCUCUUUCUGGAGGCUGUGUCCUGUGGAUUGCUGGGUGAGCCCUGGUCCUUGGAAAGAGGAAACAAGGGAUUGUUCUCCACUGGGCCACUUCAUCAGGAUCACCCCAGAUAUCUCCAUUCCAGUUGUCUGGGGAUGCCAUUACUUUCCUAACCUGUAUGGUACCCAAACCCCCUGCCCCUCUUCCUUCCAUCCCCUGACCCCCCAUUAAAUAGCUAGCUCUGCAGCUAUGGGACCCGACAGUGUGAUGAGGCAAGGCCUCUGAUGUACUGAAUACUGAGACUGGCACAGAGAGGCUCUACAACUGGUCUGGAUCUUCCUGAGUGGAGUACUUGGUGAGUUUCCCCAGAGCUGCUGAGCAUGCAGGCUUCCCUGCCUGCCCUUGUUGCACACCAGGCCAUUGAUGUCCUUUGUGUCAUCAUGUCUCAUGGCUUCAGGUAUCAUACCAUAAACUCCUUAGAGUUGGAAAGGACCAUUUAUGAUGAUCUAGUCCAAUUUCCCUACAGCGAACAAGGACAUCCACGGCUAGAUCAGGUUGCCCAGGGCCUGAUCCAGCCUCACCUUGAAGGGGACAGGGCAUCCACCACAACUCUGGGCAACCUGUUCCACUGCCUCACCACCCUCGCUGUAAAAGAUAUUUUCCUUAUGUCUAACCUAAAUGUUCCCUUGUUCUUUCCUUUAGCUCCUCUUUAGGUAUUGAAAGGCUGUUACCAGGUCACCUCAGAGCUUUCACUUCUGCAGGCUGAACAGCCCCAGCUCUCUCAGCCUGACCUUGUAGGAGAGGUGUUCGAUCCCUUAGUUCACUUUUUUUGUGGCCAUCCUCUGGAUGUGCUCCAACAGGUCCAUGUCUCUUCUGCACUGAGGACUCUACAUCUGGAUGGAGUACUCCAGGUGAGGCCUCUUCAGUACAGAGCAGAGGGGCAGGAUCACCUUCCUUCACCGGCUGACCACGCUUCUUUUGAUGCAUACCAGGAUAUGGUUGGUUUUCUGGGCUGGGAGAGCACAUUGCUGGCUCACGUCGAGCUUGCCAUUCACCAGUACCUCCAGGUCUUUUGGGACAGGCCUAUGCUCAGUCUAUUCAUCCCCCAGCAUGUAUUGGUAGUGGGGGGUUCUCUUGUCCCACAUGCAGGACACUCCACCUGGAUUUUUUGAACCUGAUGAGGUUCACCUGUGCCUGCUGCUUGAACCUGUCUAGGUCCCUCUGUUUGGCAUCCUGUCCCUCUGGUGUGUCAGCCCACAGCUUGGUGUCGUCAGCAAAUUUUCUGAGGGUGCACUCGACCCCACUGAUGAUGUCGCUGAUGAAGAUAUUGAAGAGUAUCAGCCUCAGCAUGGUCCCUGUGGGACAACACUCAUCACCAAUCACCAUCCAGACAUGGAGCCAUUGACCGCUGCUCUCUGGACCCAAUCCUGUAGCCGGUUCAUUGUCCAUUCAACAGUCCACCCGUCAAAUCUGUAUCUUUCCCAUUUGGAGAGAAGGAUGCUGUGGGAUAUUGUGUCAAAGGUCUUACUGAGGUCCAGGUAGAUGGUAUCAGUGGCUCUUUACUUGUCUAUUGAUGCAGUGGCACCAUCAUAGACAGCCACUAGGUUGGUAAAGCAGGAUUUACCCUCGGUGAAGCCGUGCUGGUUCUCCUGUAUCACCUUCCCUGUCUUACUUGUGCCUUAGUGCAACUUCCAGGAGGAUCUGCUCUGUGCUCUUUCCCAGCACAGAGGUGAGACUGUUAUGUUGGUAAUUCCCAGGGUCAUCCUUUCUUCCCUUAUUAAAAAUAGGUAUGAUGCUGUCUUUUUUCCAGUCACUCAGGGAGGCACUCUUUUUGAUCUAAUGCAAUGGUUUCCUAAAAUUCAGUCCAAUUGAAAUUCUCUUUUGUUUAGUUACAAGGACUUCCAGCAGAUUGCGAGUUUGGGCUUUACAGGUCAGCGGUGGAGCCAACAGGGAGGCCUCUGGAUUUUUGAAGAGGACUGAGAAGGCUGAGAAUCAGGUGCUUUGUUAGACAUUUUUACUGGCUGUCUUACUUCAGGAUUCUGUCUGUCCGUAGGCAUGUCCGUUUGGUAGGGUUAGCUGGAGCUUAGGAGCUUGACUUCAGUUCUUUAUGACACCGACCUGUGUCACUUGUUGCCUAGACCAAUUACACAUAUUGCUGGAGAUCCCUCUGUGCACUGUAAUUUUUUUUUCUUAAGUGUGGGGAUGGUAUCUGCCUUCAAACAGAAAAUGUCUAAAAGAAAUUUAUUUUUCUUUUUUUUUUUCUCUUGGAGCAGUCGUUCAGGGAAGUGUGGAUACUUGCUUCUCUGCCACUAUGUUUCCCAUAGCGGUGUUCUAGGAAUGGCUUCUGUCACUGAUUGCUUGCUUGCUUAUUUUCAGUACUGAAAGAAACCUACUGUUUUGUUGUUGUUGUUGUUCUUUGUUUUGUUUUGUUUUUCUGCCUAUGUAGAACUCCCUUUGUUUCCACUGUAGUUUUAAGUUGUGCUUUGGAAUAGAAUGUACAGCUGGAUCUAGAAUAGUUGCCAAAGAGGUGCGGGCAAACGGUGCUGGAUUUCCCAGACGGAGGUCAUAAAGUUCCUUGCCUUGUAAAGUGUUCCUGUACUAUUCUUAUAUAACGUUGUAUGUUACUGCUGUACUGAGAUUUUUAUUACAAAUCCAUUAUCUGUUUCCCGAAAGUGAUGCUGAGAAGCAUGCCUCAUGAUGA